rnacentral:rRNA from 1 species
CACGAACGCUGGCGGCAGGCUUAACACAUGCAAGUCGAGCGCCCCGCAAGGGGAGCGGCAGACGGGUGAGUAACGCGUGGGAAUCUACCCAUCUCUACGGAAUAACGCAUGGAAACGUGUGCUAAUACCGUAUACGUCCUUCGGGAGAAAGAUUUAUCGGAGAUGGAUGAGCCCGCGUUGGAUUAGCUAGUUGGUGGGGUAAAGGCCUACCAAGGCGACGAUCCAUAGCUGGUCUGAGAGGAUGAUCAGCCACACUGGGACUGAGACACAGCCCAGACUCCUACGGGAGGCAGCAGUGGGGAAUAUUGGACAGUGGGCGCAAGCCUGAUCCAGCCAUGCCGCGUGAGUGAUGAAGGCCCUAGGGUUGUAAAGCUCUUUCACCGGUGAAGAUAAUGACGGUAACCGGAGAAGAAGCCCCGGCUAACUUCGUGCCAGCCGCCGCGGUAAAAC